rnacentral:lncRNA from 1 species
ACAGUCCUGGAAGUACAAGUGAAAAAAGAAAUCCUAUUUUAGCAUGAACAUGCACCUCCAAUUUUUUAGCUCUUACUAGCAGUUCCUGUAUACACAAACAUGUGAGAAGUCUCCAAAGAGAAGUUUCAGUUUUGCAAGCAAAAAAACAAAAACAAAAAAAACUAAUCACAUCGAAGAAAAGUAGGCACUACACUUUCUAGAUGACAGUAUUAAUAUAUAAUUAUUUUAGAAGAAACUAUGAAUCUGUUUAAAUCCCCAAAGUUAAAUAACCUAAUCAGAUCACUUAGAGAAAUAAGUGCUUUUCGCUGCCCUGCCCUAAGAUCAUAUUGCUAUUUAACCUGCUUUUAAACAAACAAGAAUUUUUAAACAUUUUCUAUCCUUUAAGCAAAUGUUCUUUGCUUGGCUAAAUGACAAUGUUCAAGAAAUGCCUACCACAGAAGCAUAAAAAACCCCUGGCAACAUUCCAGAAGAAAUUCACCCCGCAUAAUGUGUUCCAGCUAAUGCUCAAUAGCUUUCGGGUGAACCUGCUGGCUCUGUGUGCCCUUGAACAGAAUCUGAAAAGAACAAAAGAAAAACUGAUAGACAUUUUCCCUUUUGUGAGUCUGGUGGAACUUUCCAAACUUCGAAAAAUGUACGGCUACCAUGAACCCGGCCCUGGGCUCUGAUGUAAACUUUGUUUUACUACCUUUGCUUCCCUGAAAUUCAACUAUAAUUAUAUUGUUUGUCUUUUCAUCCAAUAAAAUGUGCAUUAGCAUUUGGUCCUCUUUAGAGUGUAGUAUUUGUUUAGAUGAAUGUAUUCUUUCAAAUGAUUAGCAGUGCUGCCACAAUGAGAACGCUUUAGAUUAAACUCUUGAUAUCGUAUUAAAAGGAGGGAGAUCAGCUCAAAAUGCUUCCAAAGUGUGCUCAUAACUGGCUGAGGCUAUCAACUUUUCUAGAUAUGUAUGAGAAUUUCACCAAGCGCAAAAGACUUUAAGAUGAAAUCCCUGGCCCUUUUAUAAAUGAAAAAAAUAACACGAGAGUUCCUAUUGUGGCUCAGCAGGUUAAGAACCCGACUAGAGUCCAUGAGGAUGCAGGUUCCAUCUCUGGCCUCGUUCAGUGAGUUAAGGAUCCCGUGUCGCCUUGAGCUGUGGUGUAGGUUGCAGAUGCAGCUCAUAUCUGGCGUUGCUGUGGUUGUGCUGUAGGCUGGCAGAUGCAGGUCUGAUUCGACUCCUAGCCUGGGAACUUCCAUAUGCCAUGGGUACAGCCCUAAAAAGUCCAAAAAACUAAAAAUAAAAAAUUAAAUCAUUGGCCAUGUUACAUCUCUGAAGCUGUAGUGAUACAGUUGGAGCCAAUUCUCUCUGGACAUGGGAGGCUGCAGCAUUGGGUGGGAGGGCUGGUACAGAGUGCAUUUGACCUUAAAUGCCCUGGAUGGAGGAAGAGGAGGAUGCUUGGAAAGAUAACAUUUUCUCCAUUUGAUGUUCUAGGACAUGUGCAUGGAAUUGAAACAACCCAUUUUGCAGGCAAGAAGCUAUAGAUGCAAAUGCCAGGCCUGGGGAAAACUGGACCCUGGGGAAGGAUGGAAGGCACUGGGGCUUGCCCUCACAGGCCCUCCCACUAUGGGGCCACCAGCCUGCUCCACGCAGAGCCUUCUCCGGGUUCCCUGGGGGACCUCUUGGAGGAGUGCAGCAGGAAGACUAUCGAUUGGCUCGGGACAUAAAAUAGACUAUUGACGGUAUCUCAGAGAUACCCCCAACAGGAUGGAAAAGAAAGGACUCACCCACAACUUUAAUGGCCAAAUAUAAAACACUGAAAUGUGCUCUGCUGGUUGUAACAUUCUCUUGGCAUUUCUUCAUUUAUUACUACGCUGGAAGCCUCAAAAAAAUGGAAGAGACCCAGCUCUGGGGACCUCUGAGAGGCCCUGGCUACCAGGAAGUCACGUGGUGUAUUAGGAGAAGGCAAGGCAUUUACAAAACCCUCAGCUGCUUUCUGCAGGAGAAAGCUGGGCCUCUAGACUCCCAGUCACCAGAGUGCAUUGCCAAACGCAAAGCCAGCACAAAACAGAUGAAACUACAGAGACCUUUGACUGGCAUCUUUAUCCUGAUGCCUCAAAAAGGAGCCAUGAUGAUGAUGAUUCAAGGUGCUUCCUUCCAGAUCCUUAAAGAGACACACACACUCAGAAUAAAUGAUGUUAUUUUCCGUGUUUUUCUUACUUAUGUGGUAUAAGAUUAUACACAUCCUAAAAAUUGCUUUAUUCAUUCCACAGUAUUUUGAGACUUAUCCAUGUGGCUUCAUAUAGAUUUAUUUCAAUACUCCUGGCUGCUGAUGGUACUCCAUCAUUUGAAACCACUACUUUUAUUUACCCAUAUCCCUCCUGACGUUCAGUAUUUGUCUGUGGCUGAUCCGAUGCAUUCUUCCAGCCCACUUAAGCAUUCCCUUCUUAGAAGUCUGACUGCACUUUAUUCUCCUUAGUUGUUCCACAUAUGUGUGGUCUGUUUCCCGGACGAGAAAGUUAAACUUCUAAGAGCAACUUCUAUGUCCGGCAUCUAAUCGAAUCAUUGCAUCUAUGUAAUACUCUGGUGAAUGACGAACUUUGGACUGUUGGCUCUCUCGGAGAGCUGAAGAGCAGCUCUGGACUCCCAGAGGUUCAACAAAUUCUAUCUAGUUAUUUAUUUCCUCUUGGUUUCUUAAAAGAGAAGUGCUGUAUUUUCAAAACAGGUUCAACUAAAAUUCACUUCCUUUCUUCAUCUAGAUUCGUGGCGGUGAGCAUCUCCUUAAAAUGUUCCAAAUCCGAACACCGGUGAUACCAUAAACGUUUCACCUUUAAAAGAUGAGACAGAGACAGACAGACAGACAGACAGACAGCAAUACAGAAAGAGAGAGUGAAAGAAAGAGAAGGAGGAGGGGGAAGAGAAAAAGGAGGAAGACUGAAAGGAUCCCCACCCCUCCGAAGGGCGGGGCCUGUGGCCCCUGCUGGCCUGGAGGCAAAGUUGGGCACAAAGGGCUGAUUCUCUUUGCAAAUGAAAUCUGGAUAACACACCCUCUCCCUUCUUUUCCUUGAAAAGUCUUCCCCUGCCACUUUUACUGUCAACUUUUAGGUUGCUCUUGUCAGAAUCAGUUUUCAUUUCUUUCCCUGGAAACUUUAUUCUCUGCCUCUUUCGGCUUCCUAAAGAAUUGGUUUGUUAAAGUUUUUAAUUGUUCGCGCUUUUUCUAGGGACAAUGAAGAAAGCGCAGAGUCUCCACAUCCACUCACCAGAAAUCCUCCAGAUCAUUCAACCUGACUCACAAUCAUGGCCGAAAGAGCUGCUUGGAAACUGUGAAAACCUUGCCAAAGGGACUCGCCCACUGCAUUGUUUGUUGGAGGAAAGGAGAAGGUGGGGACAUAGAAAAGCUGUGGAGGCACCCAGGUAUUCGGGGACCUCUCUGUAUUUGCGUUAGACCAUUUUUUCAUCUUGUGAAGUCAUUUUAACUCUUUCCUAGUCCAAGACACCAGCUUUUGGCUUUUUCGAGUCUGAUCCCUUUGCUCUGGCCAGGGUCCCCUUCCCCCGUGCCCCCCAAAUGCACCUACGCUUAUAUACAUGCCAUUCUGCAAAGAAUUUCCAGGAAGCCACAAAUCUCCUGACACUAGAGAAGCCCAGGUGGAGAAGAUCUAAAAUAAGGUGAAAUUGCCAAGAAUCCAGAUGUUGGCAGAAACAGUAACAGUGACAGGCACUACAUGCACUGAUAGGAGCUACAAAAUAAAACCAAUCUCUGUAUGUGGGUUUUGGAGCCUAUUUGGGUUUGAUCCUGAGUUGGUCUUUUCAGACACACCUAUAUUUCCAUCACAGUUAGCAGGAUGAUCCAUACAUGCUCAGUGUGCCACCAUCUUUGAAUGCAAAGAAUGACUCUGCGUCGGGAAGAUGACAUGCUGGACAGGCAAAAGGCCGCACUGAUCAUGAGGAGAUGUGAUCAAAAUAUCAUCAAAAAUAUCUACAUCUGCAGCAAGUGCUAGAAAUAAGUGAAUAAACGAUCUUGCCUUUCAGCACCCCUCACCUCAACUUCUCACCACAUCCUUGGCAUCAUUUCUUUCGGUAGCUUCUCUAUCCUACUUCAACGUCAAAGACUUCUUCAUGUGUCAUUGUCCUUAGAUCUAAUCUCUUCCAAACUCUUAGCUAUUCCCCAAACCAUACAGAUUAUUGUCAUCAGAGUAACAUUUCCCAUUUAUAGAGUGACUCCUAUGUGUCAACUAUGCAUGUAGCACCAAAAAUAUACUAUGCAUAUGUAUGAAAUCCAUGCAAUAAUUCUGCUAGGUAGAUAGCAGUAUUUCCAUUUAAAGAGGAAAAACUUGAGGUUCAAAGAGCAGUGACUUACUAAUGUUUCCGGAGCAAGGACCUGGCAGAACUGGGUUUAUCCUUAAUUCCAUGUGACUGCAAAUUCUCUCAGUCUUGUUGGCUCAUGCCACCAUCAUGUUUUUUCCAGAAAAUUCUUAAGAUUACGGAAUUCUCAGUUUAGAUGUUCUCAGCCUUCUUUGGCUCAUAGAAUAUUUGAGGAGAAAGGGAUCAGAGGCAAUCUUGUCUGACACACACACUUAACAAGUAAGGAAACUGACACUCACCUAGGAUGGGUUACUGGUCCAACCACGACCUUCCCUUUUCUAGUUCUCGAGGAGGCAGGAACCACAUCCUUUGGGAAGUUAUUUCCUGCUUCUCCUAGCAUAGCUCUAAGUGCACCAAAAGUCUGUAGGUGGACAUUUGAUGACCAUUCCAAAAGGAGCAGAAACUCAAGUCCAGAACACCCGAACGACCGACGCAAAGGAGGGCCAGACUCAGGUGGCAUCUACCUCAAAGGGACUUAACAAUCCAAGGUGUGCCCCUUCCUACCUCACCACCCCCCAGAAGAAGCCAAGAUAUUCCCUGGUCUUUGAAGCUAGUGUAGCAGUGAAAACAAGACAUGUAAAAUCACAGCGAAGGCAGCCCCCAAACCAGCACCUGCAUCCUAAAACCACUUCUACAGACAGCAGUGACAUGCAGCCCAAUUCAGCAGAUAAUGGCAAAGCCCUUCUCUUUCAGUCUGUGGUAGCUGGAAUGAGGAGGGAGAGGACAAGUCAGAGCUUGAAAGCUUGCUUUUAGGUUUGUUAUCAAGAACAACAAGUGACUGCCAUAUUUCGAAUGUAUUUAAAAGUCCUGAAUCACAUAACUAGUCUGCCUUGCAUGGUCCUUGAAAAUGCAAAAAUAGAAAUGAAAGAAAUUAUCUAAGAGCAGCAAAGCAGGGAAACAGAGAUUAGCAUGAGAUUAGGAGUUCGGGCUGCGUUUCAUUAUUACCGAUGCUUAUAAACACUUGCUGUCUGACAGUAGUUGACAAGCCCUGCUAAGGACAGAGUAAUAAACAUGGU